GCUCCUUCACUGCCAAUGCUACCACCGAUUCCAGGGACUUUCGACAUCACGAUGUUGCUUGUCUCGGCAACUUUCUCGUAAACAGGUGAGAGUUUUUCUGUCACAGUUGCUGCGACUUUCUUCCCGUAUUCAACUGGUGAUGAGGCCAGGUUGGUCUUUCGUUGUUCUUCUCCUACAUGCAUUUCAUGUUCUUUAUUAUUGUUCUCUUGAUAUCCAAUUUUGGAAGCUAUAACAUUCUUUGCAGAUAUCGCUUUAUCAGCAAUUGCGGAAGUGGCAGAAUAUAUUUUCUCUUUAUAGCUGCCCUGUUUCGAUGCAUCAGGAGUCUCUGAAACGGAACGAGAGCUAUCAUGGGAGUCUACAGGCAUCGG
rnacentral:lncRNA from 1 species